ACGCUCGACACCUACGGGAGGUAGCAGUGAGGAAUAUUGGUCAAUGGGCGGCUAGCCUGAACCAGCCAAGUAGCGUGAAGGAUGAAGGCUCUAUGGGUCGUAAACUUCUUUUAUAUAAGAAUAAAGUGCAGUAUGUAUACUGUUUUGUUAUGUAUUAUAUGAAUAAGGAUCGGCUAACUCCGUGCCACAGCCGCGGUAAUCUGAGCGGGCUGGCAAGGC
rnacentral:rRNA from 1 species